GUCCAUGCCGUAAACGUUGGCACUAGGUGUGGGUCCAUUCCACGGAUUCCGUGCCGCAGCAAACGCAUUAAGUGCCCCGCCUGGGAGUACGGCCGCAAGGCUAAACUCAAGAAUUGACGGGCCCGCACAAGCGGCGGAGCAUGCGGAUUAAUUCGAUGCAACGCGAAGAACCUUACCAAGGCUUGACAUACACCGGAAACGUGCAGAGAUGUGCGCCCCGCAAGGUCGGUGUACAGGUGGUGCAUGGUUGUCGU
rnacentral:rRNA from 1 species